GAUGAACGCUGGCGGCGUGCCUAAUACAUGCAAGUCGAGCGAACAGACGAGGAGCUUGCUCCUCUGACGUUAGCGGCGGACGGGUGAGUAACACGUGGAUAACCUACCUAUAAGACUGGGAUAACUUCGGGAAACCGGAGCUAAUACCGGAUAUUAUAUUGAACCGCAUGGUUCAAUAGUGAAAGACGGUUUUGCUGUCACUUAUAGAUGGAUCCGCGCCGCAUUAGCUAGUUGGUAAGGUAACGGCUUACCAAGGCAACGAUGCGUAGCCGACCUGAGAGGGGGAUCGGCCACACGGGACCUGAGACACGGUCCAGACUCCUACGGGAGGCAGCAGUAGGGAAUCUUCCGCAAUGGGCGAAAGCCUGACGGAGCAACGCCGCGUGAGUGAUGAAGGUCUUCGGAUCGUAAAACUCUGUUAUUAGGGAAGAACAAAUGUGUAAGUAACUAUGCACGUCUUAACGGUACCUAAUCAGAAAGCCACGGCUAACUACGUG
rnacentral:rRNA from 1 species